rnacentral:rRNA from 1 species
CCUGAGAAACCCAAAAGAUCGAAUGGGGAGAUUCAUCGUCAGCUCAUUUUAUAUAUAUGCUAGUUAUGAUAUGGGUUACUACUUGUAGUAUUGCCUGUACAUUCUUGUAUAUUUAAAUGUAAGAUGUUGUCGGCGUGCACUUCUCCCCUAGUAGGACGUCGCGACCCGUUGAGUUUGUUGGUCUACGGCCCAAGUGGGAGAUUUUAAUGAAUUUUAUUCAUUGAAAACCCUUGGUGUUUCCUGACUGACACUCGUCGGUAUUCGUAUGGUCAUUGAGCCGCAUAUUAUAUAUGCGUCCAUAUCUGUCGCAAGCGAGGUUAGUUACUGAUAGUACGGACCUAGUGCCGUCGUUGGUACUAAUCAGCUGUUGGUUGUACAGAAUUCUAGGACUGGCUCGUUGAAAUACCGGUCAGCGAUGCUACUGCUUUGGUAUUUC